rnacentral:rRNA from 1 species
UUAGGGUUUGAUCCUGGCUCAGAUUGAACGCUGGCGGCAGGCCUAACACAUGCAAGUCGAACGGUAGCACAGAGAGCUUGCUCUCGGGUGACGAGUGGCGGACGGGUGAGUAAUGUCUGGAAAACUGCCUGAUGCAGGGGGAUAACUACUGGAAACGGUAGCUAAUACCGCAUAACGUCGCAAGACCAAAGAGGGGGACCUUCGGGCCUCUUGCCAUCAGAUGUGCCCAGAAGGGAUUAGCUAGUAGGUGGGGUAACGGCUCACCUAGCCGACGAUCCCUAGCUGGUCUGAGAGGAUGACCAAGCCACACUGGAACUGAGACACGGUCCAGACUCCUACGGGAGGCAGCAGUGGGGAAUAUUGCACAAUGGGCGCAAGCCUGAUGCAGCCAUGCCGCGCGUAUGAAGAAGGCCUUCGGGUUGUAAAGUACUUUCAGCGGGGAAGAAGGUGUUGUGGUUAAUAACCGCAGCAAUUGACGUUACCCCCAGAAGAAGCACCGGCUAACUCCGUGCCAGCAGCCGCGGAAAUACGGAGGGUGCAAGCGUUAAUCGGAAUUACUGGGCGUAAAGCCCACGCAGGCGGACUGUCAAGUCGGAUGUGAAAUCCCCGGGCUCAACCUGGGAACUGCAUUCGAAACUGGCAGGCUAGAGUCUUGUAGAGGGGGGUAGAAUUCCAGGUGUAGCGGUGAAAUGCGUAGAGAUCUGGAGGAAUACCGGUGGCGAAUGCGGCCCCCUGGACAAAGACUGACGCUCAUGUGCGAAAGCGUGGGGGAGCAAACAUGAUU